UACGGAGGGUGCAAGCGUUAUCCGGAUUUACUGGGUUUAAAGGGUGCGUAGGUGGGUAGGAAAGUCAGUGGUGAAAUCUUCGGGCUUAACCCGGAAACUGCCAUUGAUACUAUUUAUCUUGAAUACUUUGGAGGUAAGCGGAAUAUGUCAUGUAGCGGUGAAAUGCUUAGAUAUGACAUAGAACACCAAUUGCGAAGGCAGCUCACUACGGGAAUAUUGACACUGAGGCACGAAAGCGUGGGGAUCAAACAGG
rnacentral:rRNA from 1 species